rnacentral:rRNA from 1 species
AUUGAACGCUGGCGGCAGGCCUAACACAUGCAAGUCGAGCGGAUGAAGGGAGCUUGCUCCUGGAUUCAGCGGCGGACGGGUGAGUAAUGCCUAGGAAUCUGCCUGGUAGUGGGGGAUAACGUCCGGAAACGGGCGCUAAUACCGCAUACGUCCUGAGGGAGAAAGUGGGGGAUCUUCGGACCUCACGCUAUCAGAUGAGCCUAGGUCGGAUUAGCUAGUUGGUGGGGUAAAGGGCUACCAAGGCGGCGAUCCGUAACUGGUCUGAGAGGAUGAUCAGUCACACUGGAACUGGAACACGGUCCAGACUCCUACGGGAGGCAGCAGUGGGGAAUAUUGGACAAUGGGCGAAAGCCUGAUCCAGCCAUGCCGCGUGUGUGAAGAAGGUCUUCGGAUUGUAAAGCACUUUAAGUUGGGAGGAAGGGCAGUAAGUUAAUACCUUGCUGUUUUGACGUUACCAACAGAAUAAGCACCGGCUAACUUCGUG